rnacentral:rRNA from 1 species
GUAGGGUGCGAGCGUUAAUCGGAAUUACUGGGCGUAAAGCGUGCGCAGGCGGUUUGGUAAGACAGGCGUGAAAUCCCCGGGCUCAACCUGGGAACUGCGCUUGUGACUGCCAAGCUAGAGUAUGGCAGAGGGGGGUGGAAUUCCACGUGUAGCAGUGAAAUGCGUAGAGAUGUGGAGGAACACCGAUGGCGAAGGCAGCCCCCUGGGCCAAUACUGACGCUCAUGCACGAAAGCGUGGGGAGCAAAC